rnacentral:lncRNA from 1 species
AAUUACGAUAACAAAAUCCUAAUUCUAAUAGAAUACUAACAAUGCUCUAAUUAGACUAUAAUAAUGGUAAACAAACGUAAUCAAAUUCAAAACAACUCAAAGAAAUUUCAAACAAACAAUAAAAUUCUUAAAGAAAUAUUAGAAUCAACACAAAUAUUACUCAAAUAUAUGUCAAUUCAAUCUUAAUUUAAUUCUAGUUAAAACUCUAUUGAAUUUCAUUCAAACUUUAGACCAAACCUAAUUAAAUCUUAAACCCUAAUAAAUCCUAAAUCCCAAGUCAAAUCCUAAAUAAAUCUUAAAUUAAACCCUAAAUCAAAUCCUAUUUCAAAUCCUAAACCCUAAACCAAACCUUAAAUCCUAAUCCAAACUCUAAUCCAAUCCUAAAUCCUAAUCCAAAUCCUAAACCCUAAACCAAACCUUAAAUCAAACUCUAAUCUAAUCCUAAAUCAAAUCCUAACUAAAUCCUAAAUCCUAAUCCAAAUCCUUAAUCAAAUCCUAAUCAAAUCCUAAAUCCUAGACCCUAAAUCAUAAUCCAAAUUCUAAUCCAAAUCCUAAAUCAAAUCCUAACUAAACUCUAAACUCUAAUCCAAAUCCUAAUCCAAAUUCUAAAUCAAAUCCUAACCAAACCCUUAUCAAACCCUAACCAAAUCCUAAUCCAAAUCCUAAACUCUAAAUC